CAGCAGCCGCGGUAAUACGGAGGGAGCUAGCGUCGUUCGGAAUUACUGGGCGUAAAGCGCACGUAGGCGGCCUUGUAAGUUAGAGGUGAAAGCCUGGAGCUCAACUCCAGAACUGCCUUUAAGACUGCAUCGCUUGAAUCCAGGAGAGGUGAGUGGAAUUCCGAGUGUAGAGGUGAAAUUCGUAGAUAUUCGGAAGAACACCAGUGGCGAAGGCGGCUCACUGGACUGGUAUUGACGCUGAGGUGCGAAAGCGUGGGGAGCAGACAGGAUUAGAUACCCCCGUAGUCCCUGUCUCUUAUAC
rnacentral:rRNA from 1 species